rnacentral:rRNA from 1 species
GACGAACCGUGCGAACGUUGUUCGGAAUCACUGGGCUUAAAGGGCGCGUAGGCGGCCCACUAAGUCGAACGUGAAAUCCCCGAGCUCAACUCGGGAACUGCGUCCGAUACUGGUGGGCUUGAAUCCGGGAGAGGGAUGUGGAAUUCCAGGUGUAGCGGUGAAAUGCGUAGAUAUCUGGAGGAACACCGGUGGCGAAGGCGGCAUCCUGGACCGGUAUUGACGCUGAGGCGCGAAAGCUAGGGGAGCAAACGGGG